rnacentral:rRNA from 1 species
AUUGAACGCUGGCGGCAGGCCUAACACAUGCAAGUCGAGCGGAUGAAGGGAGCUUGCUCCUGGAUUCAGCGGCGGACGGGUGAGUAAUGCCUAGGAAUCUGCCUGGUAGUGGGGGAUAACGUCCGGAAACGGGCGCUAAUACCGCAUACGUCCUGAGGGAGAAAGUGGGGGAUCUUCGGACCUCACGCUAUCAGAUGAGCCUAGGUCGGAUUAGCUAGUUGGUGGGGUAAAGGCCUACCAAGGCGACGAUCCGUAACUGGUCUGAGAGGAUGAUCAGUCAAACUGGAACGGAGACACGGUCCAGACUCCUACGGGAGGCAGCAGUGGGAAAUAUUGGACAAGGGGCGAAAGCCUGAUCCAGCCAUGCCGCGUGUGUGAAGAAGGUCUUCGGAUGGUAAAGCACUUUAAGUUGGGAGGAAGGGCAGUAAGUUAAUACCUUGCUGUUUUGACGUUACCAACAGAAUAAGCACCGGCUAACUUCGU